CCAUCCUGAAAGAUAUUGAAUUUUUGGGUUCCUCACACAUGACAUGGAAACAGAAAAAGGACUUGGAGAAUAAGAAGGUAGUGUCACUCGGUGGAAAGCCUCCAAAGAAACAGAG